UACGUAGGGGGCAAGCGUUAUCCGGAUUUACUGGGUGUAAAGGGAGCGCAGACGGAUAAGGAAGUCAGAUGUGGAAGCCCCGGGCAUAACGCGGGGAGAGCAUUUGAAACUCCAUAUCUAGAGUACUGGAGGGGUGAGCGGAAUUCCUGGUGUAGCGGUGAAAUGCGUAGAUAUCAGGAAGAACACCGGCGGCGAAGGCGGCUCACUGGACAGCAACUGACGCUGAGGCUCGAAAGCGUGGGGAGCAAAC
rnacentral:rRNA from 1 species